rnacentral:rRNA from 1 species
GACGAACGCUGGCGGCGUGCUUAACACAUGCAAGUCGAACGAUGAAGCCGGAGCUUGCUCUGGUGGAUUAGUGGCGAACGGGUGAGUAACACGUGAGUAACCUGCCCUUGACUCUGGGAUAACUGCGGGAAACUGUAGCUAAUACCGGAUACGACCCUCGGAGGCAUCUCCUGGGGGUGGAAAGAAUUUCGGUCAAGGAUGGACUCGCGGCCUAUCAGCUAGUUGGUGAGGUAAAGGCUCACCAAGGCGACGACGGGUAGCCGGCCGGAGAGGGUGACCGGCCACACUGGGACUGAGACACGGCCCAGACUCCUACGGGAGGCAGCAGUGGGGAAUAUUGCACAAUGGGCGCAAGCCUGAUGCAGCAACGCCGCGUGAGGGAUGACGGCCUUCGGGUUGUAAACCUCUUUUAGCAGGGAAGAAGCGAAAGUGACGGUACCUGCAGAAAAAGCACCGGCUAACUACGUGCCAGCCGCCGCCGUAA